AACGACUCUCGGCAACGGAUA
rnacentral:siRNA from 1 species